rnacentral:misc_RNA from 1 species
CAGAGCGUGAGGUCCAGCCAUGGCAGUUGUCGUGGGCUGGAUCGACCCUCCACCCGUGUCGACUUGUAUUUUUGUUGCUUUGGCGGGCCGGGCUCGCCCAUGGUCGCGUUUCGUACGUGUGCGUAUGGCGUGUUGCCCACCGGCUUCGGCUGGAGCGUGUCCGCCGGAGACUCUAUAACCAAAACCUAUUGCUGUCCAUGUAGUCUAAGGCAAGAUUUAAAGAAUUGAU